rnacentral:rRNA from 1 species
GACCCGCACAAGCGGUGGAUGAUGUGGAUUAAUUCGAUGCAACGCGAAAAGCCUUACCUACCCUUGACAUGUCCAGGAGCUCGAAGAGAUUUGAGUGUGCCCGAAAGGGAGCUGGAACACAGGUGCUGCAUGGCUGUCGUCAGCUCGUGUCGUGAGAUGUUGGGUUAAGUCCCGCAACGAGCGCAACCCUUGUCGUUGAUUGCCAUCAUUUAGUUGGGCACUUUAACGAGACUGCCGGUGACAAACCGGAGGAAGGUGGGGGUGACGUCAAGUCCUCAUGGCCCUUAUGGGUAGGGCUUCACACGUCAUACAAUGGUCGGUACAGAGGGUUGCCAAGCCGCGAGGUGGAGCCAAUCCCAGAAAGCCGAUCGUAGUCCGGAUCGUAGGCUGCAACUCGCCUGCGUGAAGUCGGAAUCGCUAGUAAUCGCGGAUCAGCAUGUCGCGGUGAAUACGUUCCCGGGUCUUGUACACACCGCCCGUCACACCAUGGGAGCGGGUUCCGCCAGAAGUAGGUAGCCUAACCGUAAGGAGGGCGCUUACCACGGCGGGGUUCGUGACUGGGGUGAAGUCGUAACAAGGUAGCCGUAGGGGAACCUGCGGCUGGAUC